AUGGGACGCCCUGGUCCCGCGGCGGGGAGCGCCCGAUAAACUGUCCGCGGAACGUCACGGGGCGCAGCCCCUGCCGGUCCGCAAAUGAUCAGCCAGCAGCCGCUGCAACCCCAGGGAG
rnacentral:sRNA from 22 species